rnacentral:rRNA from 1 species
UAAACGACUCUUGGCAAUGGAAAUCUUAGUUCUCGCAUCGAUGAAGAAUGUAGCGAAAUGCAAUACUUGGUGUGAAUUGCAUAAUCUCGUUAACCAUCGAGUCUUUAAACGCAAGUUGUGCUCAAAGCCAUUAGGCUGAGGGCACGUCUGCCUAGGCAUCACAC